AACCUUAUGGACCUGCGGGCGUAUACCUGCGGAAGGAUCAUUACAGAGUUGCAAAACUCCCCAAACCAUUGUGAACCUUACCUUCAAACGUUGCUUCGGCGGGCGGGCCACAGCGCCCCCCGGGCCCCCCCAGCGGGGGCGCCCGCCGGAGGAUACCCAAACUCUUGAUACUUUAUGGCCUCUCUGAGUCUUCUGUACUGAAUAAGUCAAAACUUUUAACAAUGGAUCUCAGAUCGGAAG
rnacentral:misc_RNA from 1 species